UCCGUAGGGGGCAAGCGUUGUCCGGAUUUAUUGGGCGUAAAGCGCGUGUAGGUGGCCAAGUAGGUCCGCUGUGAAAACUUGAGGCUCAACCUCAAGCUGUCGGUGGAAACCACUUGGCUAGAGUCCGGAAGAGGAGAGUGGAAUUCCUGGUGUAGCGGUGAAAUGCGCAGAUAUCAGGAAGAACACCAAUGGCGAAGGCAGCUCUCUGGGACGGUACUGACACUGAGACGCGAAAGCGUGGGGAGCGAACAGG
rnacentral:rRNA from 1 species